GUAGUCCACGCCCUAAACGAUGUCGACUAGUCGUUCGGAGCAGCAAUGCACUGAGUGACGCAGCUAACGCGUGAAGUCGACCGCCUGGGGAGUACGGCCGCAAGGUUAAAACUCAAAGGAAUUGACGGGGACCCGCACAAGCGGUGGAUGAUGUGGAUUAAUUCGAUGCAACGCGAAAAACCUUACCUACCCUUGACAUGUCUGGAACCUUGGUGAGAGCCGAGGGUGCCUUCGGGAGCCAGAACACAGGUGCUGCAUGGCUGUCGUCAGCUCGUGUCGUGAGAUGUUGGGUUAAGUCCCGCAACGAGCGCAACCCUUGUCACUAGUUGCCAUCAUUUGGUUGGGCACUCUAGUGAGACUGCCGGUGACAAACCGGA
rnacentral:rRNA from 1 species